rnacentral:rRNA from 1 species
CCUACGGGAGGCAGCAGUGGGGAAUAUUGCACAAUGGGGGGAACCCUGAUGCAGCGACGCCGCGUGAGCGAGGAAGUAUUUCGGUAUGUAAAGCUCUAUCAGCAGGGACGAAAAAAGACGGUACCUGACUAAGAAGCCCCGGCUAACUACGUGCCAGCAGCCGCGGUAAUACGUAGGGGGCAAGCGUUAUCCGGAUUUACUGGGUGUAAAGGGAGCGUAGACGGCAAGGCAAGCCAGAAGUGAAAGGGCAGGGCUCAACCCUGUACAUGCUUUUGGAACUGUGGUGCUAGAGUGCAGGAGAGGUAAGUGGAAUUCCUAGUGUAGCGGUGAAAUGCGUAGAUAUUAGGAGGAACACCAGUGGCGAAGGCGGCUUACUGGACUGUAACUGACGUUGAGGCUCGAAAGCGUGGGGAGCAAACAGGAUUAGAUACC